rnacentral:rRNA from 1 species
AGAGUUUGAUCCUGGCUCAGAUUGAACGCUGGCGGCAGGCCUAACACAUGCAAGUCGAGCGGUAACACAGGAGAGCUUGCUCUCUGGGUGGCGAGCGGCGGACGGGUGAGUAACGUCUGGGAAACUGCCUGAUGGAGGGGGAUAACUACUGGAAACGGUAGCUAAUACCGCAUGAUGUCGCAAGACCAAAGUGGGGGACCUUCGGGCCUCACGCCAUCGGAUGUGCCCAGAUGGGAUUAGCUAGUAGGUGAGGUAAUGGCUCACCUAGGCGACGAUCCCUAGCUGGUCUGAGAGGAUGACCAGCCACACUGGAACUGAGACACGGUCCAGACCCCUACGGGAGGCAGCAGUGGGGAAUAUUGCACAAUGGGCGCAAGCCUGAUGCAGCCAUGCCGCGUG